rnacentral:rRNA from 1 species
UGCAGUCGAGCGAACAGACGAGGAGCUUGCUCCUUUGACGUUAGCGGCGGACGGGUGAGUAACACGUGGGUAACCUACCUAUAAGACUGGGAUAACUUCGGGAAACCGGAGCUAAUACCGGAUAAUAUUUCGAACCGCAUGGUUCGAUAGUGAAAGAUGGCUYUGCUAUCACUUAUAGAUGGACCUGCGCCGUAUUAGCUAGUUGGUAAGGUAACGGCUUACCAAGGCAACGAUACGUAGCCGACCUGAGAGGGUGAUCGGCCACACUGGAACUGAGACACGGUCCAGACUCCUACGGGAGGCAGCAGUAGGGAAUCUUCCGCAAUGGGCGAAAGCCUGACGGAGCAACGCCGCGUGAGUGAUGAAGGUCUUCGGAUCGUAAAACUCUGUUAUUAGGGAAGAACAAACGUGUAAGUAACUGUGCACGUCUUGACGGUACCUAAUCAGAAAGCCACGGCUAACUACGUGCCAGCAGCCGCGGUAAUACGUAGGUGGCAAGCGUUAUCCGGAAUUAUUGGGCGUAAAGCGCGCGUAGGCGGUUUUUUAAGUCUGAUGUGAAAGCCCACGGCUCAACCGUGGAGGGUCAUUGGAAACUGGAAAACUUGAGUGCAGAAGAGGAAAGUGGAAUUCCAUGUGUAGCGGUGAAAUGCGCAGAGAUAUGGAGGAACACCAGUGGCGAAGGCGACUUUCUGGUCUGUAACUGACGCUGAUGUGCGAAAGCGUGGGGAUCAACAGGAUUAGAUACCCUGGUAGUCCACGCCGUAAACGAUGAGUGCUAAGUGUUAGGGGGUUUCCGCCCCUUAGUGCUGCAGCUAACGCAUUAAGCACUCCGCCUGGGGAGUACGACCGCAAGGUUGAAACUCAAAGGAUUGACGG